AUUGAACGCUGGCGGCAUGCCUUACACAUGCAAGUCGAACGGCAGCACGGGAGCUUGCUCCUGGUGGCGAGUGGCGAACGGGUGAGUAAUACAUCGGAACGUACCCAGGAGUGGGGGAUAACGUAGCGAAAGUUACGCUAAUACCGCAUAUUCUGUGAGCAGGAAAGCGGGGGAUCGCAAGACCUCGCGCUCUUGGAGCGGCCGAUGUCGGAUUAGCUAGUUGGUGAGGUAAAAGCUCACCAAGGCGACGAUCCGUAGCAGGUCUGAGAGGAUGAUCUGCCACACUGGGACUGAGACACGGCCCAGACUCCUACGGGAGGCAGCAGUGGGGAAUUUUGGACAAUGGGGGCAACCCUGAUCCAGCCAUGCCGCGUGAGUGAAGAAGGCCUUCGGGUUGUAAAGCUCUUUCGGCGGGGAAGAAAUGGCAACGGCUAAUAUCCGUUGUUGAUGACGGUACCCGCAUAAGAAGCACCGGCUAACUACGUGCCAGCAGCCGCCGCAG
rnacentral:rRNA from 1 species